AAUUGCAUGCUAUUUAUAUUGACCAUACAUGAGGACUUAUCUGACAUAGUAGGGUAUGGACCCAAUAGAGAUGGUACUGCUUCCAUAGGGGAACUGACAGACUCUGCCACUUCCUCAAUCAGGGGGACCUUGGAUCUGACAUCACCGCCAUUAUCCCUCUUUGUAAGAGACUGCAUACUUGAAUCAUCCAAAGGUUUAUGCAAAGAAGAGGCCUCUACUUUACAUCCUAGACAA
rnacentral:lncRNA from 1 species